GCAAUUGUUUCAUAUAAGAGACUCAGUACAUAUCAAUUGUUUCAUAUAAGAGACUCAGUACAUUUAGAAUCCCCUUGUAAGAGAAGUCCUAAUUGACAAGUUAACCAGGAAGAUAUUUCAAGUUAAAUAUGCAGAGCAAGUGAUCACUCAUCCUCUCAAAUUUUUUCUUGGCAGCAUUGUAUUCAUUGAUUGCCUUCAAUCCGAAUGAGGUUCCUCCUUCUCGGGUUCCAAUUUCCGGAGUUCAGCUUCAGCAGCAGAAUGAUGAGCCUCUUUGCAUUGAUCCGUCUCUGCUGUCAGAGCCUCGACUCUUGAGGAGUUGUCAAUCAUCCUGUUCCUUUGUAGGUUCAGGCAGGAGAAGGUCAUAUGUCUUGGCUUUUUAGAGACCUGUACUCGAACGUGCUCUGGAAGCACAAACUCAACCUCAGCAUUAGGAUUCUUUGUUACUAAGGUAGCAAACAAUUUCUUCUGUUGCACAGGCACUGGCAGUAUAUCAUUUCUAUCACUUAUACUAAGAUCCUUACAGAAAUAAUUAGCAAUAAUCAUAAGGAAUCUUGCAUAACAGAUGACUUGGUCUCUAUUUUGCACUUGGUCAAAUUUGUAAGCGAAUUCAUCAAGCAAUAGUCUGCCAAUGUCAAUUCUCUUACCAUACAAAAGGCUAUACGCAAUUCUCAGAACAAAAAUAUUUAUCCUAUCAAAGGAACCAUAUUUUCCCGUGAAAACCUUACUCAGAGUGACAAAGAAGUACGCCCACUCCUUCCUAAAAUGCUUCCUAUUAAUUCGACCCAAAGGAUCCGCCGCAUAAUUGAUAGCUUUUAACAUGGAAAUAAUCUCACCACCGUUAGGUAUGGUUUCAAAGUUGGAAUUAGGAAAAUGCAGUGCUUCAUUGAUCACUGAAGGCGUCAAGACACAAGAAUUACCUUUGAUUGUGAAAUUUAUUUCACCACUUGGGCCACACAUUUCUUGAACAAUUUCUGCAUAGAUCGUAGGGCUUGUAGUGAGUGCAUAGCUGACUGGAGAGAUUCUCAAGAAAGCCAUCAGGGGAUAAAAGUCUGCAUGCACUGAUUCCUUCUCCAAAAAAGCAACAUGAUUUGUGGUGGCAUAGGCCACUUUGCCUGAUGGACUCAAGUCUUGGGACAAUUUAUUGGGGGGGAUUGUUUCAUGUACCAAGAUUUUAUUAGAAGGCUCGAAAAUUUCUUGGGGGUUGAAUUUGAGAAGGAAUGAUAGGAUCUUAGCAAAAGAAUUCGCUCAGACCAAAGAUGGCUGUGUACAUUUCAUCUGCUACAUAUGCUAUUUAAAUAAGGAUUCUCAUGGCCGUUUCAUUACAAAAAUUUAAUGGGGUCCAGAAUUGGAAUUGAAUUUUUCUAUUAGUCGGUUGAAUGAAAUCUUAUCUAUUAAAUGAUAUCUUAUCAACUAUCCAUCAUUGUAUUUAAUUGAGUUUUUAAUAGAUUAUAUCAUUUAUGUAGAUUUUAACCGAGAUUUUAGUGGAUAUAUAUAAUCCAUAGAUUUUAAUCAAUUGUAUGGAUUUUGAUUUAUGUCAUAUCUACAUAGAGGUUCGCAAAGUUGAUACCGAGUCAAAAUGUCAUCAAUUUUGUUGAGAUUUUAAAAAUCUAAAAGACGUUUAACAAUCCUAUAACAACCAAGAUUUUAGUGGAUAUGCAUAAUCCAUCUAUUUUAAUCAAUUGCAUAGAUUUUGAUUUUAUGCCAUAUCUACAUAGAGGUUCGCAAAGUUGAUACGGAGUCAAAAUCUCAUGAAUUUUGGUGAGAUUUCAAAUAUCUAAAAGACGCUUAACAAUUCUAUUAAAUCCAUCAUUUUAUGAAGUCGAAAACAAUCCAUCAACAAUUGAAUACCAUAAGAUUUAUUAAGAGAGAUGAUAGAAGAGAGAAUGAGUUUAACUAGUGAACAUGAUGAAGAUGGAAGAACAAAGAAGUGAUGACUAGAACCCUAAAUUCGGAAGUCGACUCUCAAAACCGCAAAACAUAUUUGUAAGAUUUCCUUCCGAGUCAAGUUGAAUGAUUGGAAUCAGUUUAAUAAAUGUGAAUGACUUGGCUAAGUAUACGUUUCCGAAUAGUUGUUUAUAAGAUCUUCGUUCAAUCGAUUACUCGUUUAUAUGAUUUGAUUCGAGUCGAGUUCAAUGAGCACUCGUAAUUGAAUAAACGCUUAUAAAAUCUUUGAUUCAAACAACUAUUUAUGAAAUUUGAUUCGCGAUAUGUUGAAUCGAUUUCAGUUAAAAACUAAUUUCACAAGAUGUAAACGAAUAGACCUAACUAUGAAAAAACGAAACUUAAUUUACAAUUUCUUUCUAUAAUUAUACCAACAAAUUAAUCGUGAUUUUAAUAUCAACACUAUUUUACCAAUCGACUUAUGGUUAUCAUAUGACUACUCGUAUCAUUACGCUUACUAGUUUAUUUUUGAAUAUUAUCUUGAUAAUUGUUUCAAAAUAAUAAUGAUAUUAUAUUGAUAAUUAUACUAGAAAGAUACGAGUAUGAACCAUAUUAGUUCUAUGAAUAAUCUUGUAUAAAUAGAUAUCAUCCGUCUAUCCUCUUAGCCAAAACCCUAAACUCUGUCUGUGCGCGGUCAGUUUUGUUCUGUUUUCUUGUAAUCAAUGGCGCUUGGUAGUUGUAAUCCGACCCUUCCGGACGAACUAAUAAGCCAGAUUCUAAUACGCUUGCCAGUGAAAUCAUUACUUCGAUACCAAUCAGUCUCCAAGACAUGGUUAUUAAUGAUUAAAAACCCUAGUUUCGUCAAAUCUCAGCUCCGUCACGCACUCACUACCCAAACUGAUGAUCAAACUCUCCUGAAAGCUGACUGUUUCUCAGUACUCCAUCUCGAUUCUGGCCCGAAUGUGGUUUAUCUCAAGUUUCCAUGUCCUCGACGUGACGAUAUAAUGGAUCUUAAACUUGUUGGUUCUGCUAAUGGCAUUGUAUGUGUUGCUGUUACGUUGGGUAUUUAUGCUGAAUUUUUUUAUUUUUUUUUUUGAAAAUGAGAAUAAAUCUCAACGAGAAUCGGCAAUUCACCGUGAUAAUUCCUUCAUUCAAGAAAGCUUAUUAUCUAACCGUCGGACAUGCAAGAUGACCGGGGAAAUUUAGACAAUAAAACUUUAAUGUCCGAAAAGAAAUCCGGCCUUCUUCCAAAAAUCCUGAAAAUAAAACAAGAGAAACAAAAAGAAUAUAAGUCGAUAUAUUUAAUAGAUUACAUCAAAAUAUUCCCACAAUCAUGAUAACUCAUGAUUGAGACAAUUAAGCUCUUAAUUAAGGCAUAAUAAUAAAAUAUUAAUAUCCUUAAUUAAGACACAAUUAACGCCCUCAUAUAAGGCCCAAUUAACGCCCUCAAUAAAGAGGCACAAUUUACGCACUCAAUAAUUGAGGCACAAUUUACGCCCUUAAUAAAGAGGCAUAAUUAACGAGGCACAAUUACCGCCAUCAAGUAAGGCACAAUUAGCGCGCUUUCCUUUCUGAAACCGGAUCCCGUCCUGAAACCGCCGUCACCGCCACCAUCGGCCACCACCGCUAUGCUAUCGAUCAAGUUGCCUCGUCGUAUGCGAAGCGAACAACGAAGCGUAUCACAUGUAACAUGAAAAAUCGCCAGAAACACCAAAAACCAAACAAAACACAGGGAUUAAACAAACAAACAAAUACACACAAAUAAACAAGAUUAAAAUCAACACCUUUCGCAAUUCCAUUGAAAAUCAUGAGAAAUCGAAAGAAUAUUGUAAAUAAUUGUAAUAGAAGGGCAUACCAGUUGAGCCAUGAGGAACUCCAUAGGAUUUGAAAGUCGGAGCAUGUAUUUAUGUUGAAUUUAGAAACACUAAUAUUUGCCUAUUAAAUUUGUUGAUUUAUUAAUUAUUAAUGAGAAUUUACUGGUGCCAUAAUUGAUGGCUUUUAUUUAGGUCUUGAUAAUGUUUAAGGAGUUUGUACCAUUUUGGGUGGCCAUAAUUGGUGGCAUAUAUUUUGGACCAUUAUGGUUGGCAUGAUUAUUGUCCUUAUAAAUUUUGUGCGGUAAAUUUUGUUCUUGGAUUAAUAAUUAGAAUCUAUUAAUUUUUAUACUUUGUGAUGCUUGAUAUUGAUUAAUUGGAUAAUUAAAAAAUAAAUUAAUGUUGAUUAAGAUAUGAAUAUUGUUUAAUCUUUUAGUAAAAUAUUUAAUAAAGAGUAGGACUAAUUCUUUUCCUAAUAAACAUUUAAUUUUUAUUUAUGUAUAUUUGUUUUUCAUGAAAAAAGAUUAGUAUGUAUUAUGAUUUUUUUAAUAUUGUGUGUCUAACCAAAGCCCGGGCUUUGGUUAGACAUUAUAUCUUUACAUAAUUGUAUUUUUAUAAGUUUUAUUAUUAUUUUUAUUAUUGUUGUACAAGAUGUUAUAUUAUCAUAUUUUUGUUAAGACUUAUAUGUCAUAAUUGAUUUUAGUUUCCCCUCAGACAUACUUUUUCUACUUAAAUUAUCAUACUUAUGUUUCUCUUUGUUUGCUUUGAUUUUCAGGAUCAUGGAAAGAGACUUUAUGGGUAUUAUUAUUCAGACUUUAAAAUCUUAUUAUCUAAACUUCCGGAGAUAUCUUUGCGUAUCUUUUGGUUAGAUGAUAAACUUUAUUGGAUGAAAGAAAUCCCUAUGAUACAACUCAUCUACGAGUAUGUAGACCCUGACAAAAAAAAGAAAAAGAAAGAUACGAGUAUGUGUUUGAUCUCAUUCAUGAACUAGCUUCACACAAGCAAAUAUGGAAAGAGGGUUUUUUCAAAAUAUGGAGUAUAUAAUCUAAAACUGAAAAAGAUCAAGCAUCAUAACUAAAGCAUAAACCAGAUAUAGAAAUCAAUAAAGGAUUGAGAGCAAUUGUUUCAUAUAAGAGACUCAGUACAUUUAGAAUCCCCUGGUAAGAGAAGUCCUAAUUGACAAGUUAACCAGGAAGAUAUUACAAGUUAAAUAUGCAGAGCAAGUGAUCACUCAUCCUCUCAAAUUCUUUCUUGGCAGCAUUAUAUUGGUCAUUGAUUGCCUUCAAUCCGAAUGAGGUUCCUCCUCGGGUUCCAAUUUCCGGAGUUCAGCUUCAGCAGCAGAAUGAUGAGCCUCUUUGCAUUGAUCCGUCUCUGCUGUCAGAGCCUCGACUCUUGAGGAGUUGUCAAUCAUCCUGUUCCUUUGUAGGUUCAGGCAGGAGAAGGUCAUAUGUCUUGGCUUUUUAGAGACCUGUACUCGAACGUGCUCUGGAAGCACAAACUCAACCUCAGCAUUAGGAUUCUUUGUUACUAAGGUAGCAAACAAUUUCUUCUGUUGCACAGGCACUGGCAGUAUAUCAUUUCUAUCACUUAUACUAAGAUCCUUACAGAAAUAAUUAGCAAUAAUCAUAAGGAAUCUUGCAUAACAGAUGACUUGGUCUCUAUUUUGCACUUGGUCAAAUUUGUAAGCGAAUUCAUCAAGCAAUAGUCUGCCAAUGUCAAUUCUCUUGCCGUACAAAAGGCUAUACGCAAUUCUCAGAGCAAAAAGAAUUAUGCUAUCAAAGGAAGCAUAUUUUCCCGUGAAAACCUUACUCAGAGUGACAAAGAAGUACGCCCACUCCUUCCUAAAAUGCUUCCUAUUAAUUCGACCCAAAGGAUCCGCCGCAUAAUUGAUAGCUUUUAACAUGGAAAUAAUCUCACCACCGUUAGGUAUGGUUUUAAAGUUGGAAUUAGGAAAAUGCAGUGCUUCAUUGAUCACGGAAGGAGUCGAGACACAAGAAUUACCUUUGAUUGUGAAAUUUAUUUCACCACUUGGGCUGCACAUUUCUUGAACAAUUUCUGCAUAGAUCGUAGGGCUUGUAGUGAGUGCAUAGCUGACUGGAGAGAUUCUCAAGAAAGCCAUCAGGGGAUAAAAGUCUGCAUGCACUGAUUCAUUCUCGAAAAAAGCAACAUGAUUUGUGGUGGCAUAUGCCACUUUGGCUGAUGGACUCAAGUCUUUGGACAGUUUAUUGGGGGGAUUGUUUCAUGUACCAAGAUUUUAUCAGAAGGCUCGAAAAUCUCUUGGGGGUUGAAUUUGAGAAGGAAUGAGAGGAUCUUAGCAAAAGAAAUCGCUCAGACCAAAGAUGGCUGUGUACAUUUCAUCUGCUACAUAUGCUAUUUAAAUAAGGAUUCUCAUGGCCGUUUCAUUACAAAAAUUUAAUGGGGUCGAGAAUUG
rnacentral:lncRNA from 1 species